GAGGGGACCAGAUGGGAUUCUGUAGCCCUCUUCCAGCAGCUGCUUUUCUCAUAACUUCACUUUUAAGGGCACUUUCCUAGGACUCUCUCCAGCCUCUUCUGCAAGUGCUCAGGAGGGUUUAUGGAGACAAAGCCUGAAGAGAUUGUGGAUACACCCAAUUUCUCUGGUUCCUACUGCCUUCACCACUGCAUAUCCAGCCUCUGCCAAUUCUCUAAUCACCCCAAUGUGUCUCUUCUUACCAUCGUCUACUCGUGUCUACACCAGUAGAAAGUGAGAUAUUCUUGAAUGCUUCCAAGAAAAGGAGUGAUGACUUCAGACAUUUAUUGAGAGGUUUAAUCUGGAACCAGAGUGAAGGAUGGAUUGCAGGGGAGAAAGAGAUCACUAGUAAGGAAGCCUGAGUGAAGAAAGCCUCCGUGACUGGGACAUAAAGAGAUGACAGCAUUGUCAGCAGCUCUGUCUUUGCAGGAACUUGUGUCAUGGUGGAUUGCAUAACCCCAAAGGCUCAAAGAGGUGCCAGAGUAAGAUCUCCAGCCUCCAAAAAGUCCUGCACAUUGUACUAUGUCUAGCAAGUCUUCCAGUGUUGCAUAAAAAUACGAAGCAAAGAACUUGCCUCCUGUGUGGAGUGACAGAGUGAAGAGCAGCCUAAGUACAACUGUCUACCCAAGAGUCACAUUUGAAAACAUAGAAAUGUUCUGUUCAAAGCAGUAGGCACCAGCAUGCCUCACUGAAGUAAAAGUUUGAAAUGAGGCCACACACAGUGGCUCAUGCCUUUAAUCCUAGCACUCUGGGGGCCAAGGCAGGUGGACCACUUGAGUCCAGGAGUUGGAGACCAGCCUGGGCAACACAGUGAAACCCCGUCUCUACAAAAAAAAAAAAAAUACAAAAAACAGCCAGCAUGGUGGCACAUGCCUGUAGUCCCAGCUACCUGGGAGGCUAAGGCAAGAAGAUUACUUGAGCCCAGAAGGUCAAGGCUGCAGUGAGCCAUGAUCACACCACUACUCCAGCCUGGGCAACAGAGUGAGAUCCUGUCUCAAAAAAAAAAGUUUGAAAUGGGCCUGGUUUAUAAUUUGGGUUCUUAUAAUACUACUUUGAGCACAUCUCCCCUUUCUUUUUUUUUUUUCCUGUCUUCCUUAAUGCACCAUGAAACCUCCCUCCUUAGCCUAGCACUCCACGGUGAAAUAAGAAAACUAACUAGAAAUCAGAUGUUAGCCCUGGGGCCAGCAUUCCUGGUAAAUUAAAUAAUGCAACACCUUUGUUAAAACAUUUUUUCUGCUGAGUCUUUUCUUUCUUAUGAAAGAAUAAAAUGAUGCCAAAGGCCAUAAUCUAGGACUUGAUGACUCUCUUGGUCUAGUGUUCCCUUCCUCACCUCUAGCUAAGCUCAGGAUUUGGUCCUGUCUGCUGACCUCCACCUGUCUGUAUGUGUGUGUGUCUCACACACACACUCACACAACCAUUACCUGUCUCAAAUUGCUUGCUUCUUUAUCACACCCCAUGGGAGUCAGAUGGCUCCAUCAUGGCCUCAGUAAGACUCGGCCAUUGCCCUCCUCCUCCCUUUACAGCCAGGCUCCCUGUACCUUCCUUGGUGUCAGUUUAUCCACCUUUUGCUGAUCCCCUCUAUGGGAAGAAGGUGAACUAGGGAAAAUCCCAGGACACCGUUCUAUUUCCCCAUCACCCGCAACAGUUGGUUCUCCAUCUGUCAUUAAUUCCACAAGGAACUAGGCUAGGCCCUUGAGACACAAAGACACAAAGAAUUAAGUAAGAUUCUACAAGGGAAGAGAAAAUCCAUGAAAAUGUGAUUUGUGUAAAUUACUGUAAUGAAUUUGUCAAGCAGUAUGUUCAGAGCACUACACGAAUGCAAAAGCUUUACUUUACAAAGGAAGAAGAGGGUCCUUCCACUGGGGAAAAAAACAGGAAAGCACAGGAAAGGAGGUUGCAUAUGCAAAAGGGUGGAACCAAAAAGAACAUAGCAUAUUCAGGUUUGUACUGCUAAAGUAAAGGAGACAUGGAGAUAAAUGGUAGAGCUUUAUUAUGUCAAUUAUUCUAAUGGAAGAUUUUCAGUCCAUACAAGCAACAGAGAAUGAGACAAUAGCAGCUAGCAGAAGGUUUUCUAGAAAGCCUCAGCAUCUUCAGUGAGGAGGCUUCACUGAAGAGGGGUAAAAUAUACCAGAGGGUUCAGCACCAGAGACAGAGCAGCAAUAAAUCUACAAGUCUAUGGAGAGCAGCUUGGAAAAGAAAUACGGCCUUGAAAUUAAUCUGUCUAGUCAAAGAUUAGACCAUGAGCAAUUACCUCUACCCCUUGGUCUAAUUUUACUAUAGGGAAACAGAGGGAAAUUAAUCUAGCCCAAGAAACCCUAUAAGUUAUUUUUCCCAAGUUGCACACAUUGAAAAAUCGUUAAGUAUACGCAUAUUUGAAAAGGCAUAUACCAACAUUCUAGCCAUCUCUUAUAGCAUCCCUCAAAAUACCAUCUCCUCAACAUGCCAUGAGUAUUUCUGGUAUGUGGUAGUGCAUUACUGGACUUCCCAAAUAUCACUUUGGUGGUUAUUACUUAACAAUCAUUUAUCCGAGAGAAAUAAAGACGUGUCUAUACAAAAACCUGCAUGUAAAUUUGGAAGCAGCUUUAUUGAUAAUUGCCCCAAACUGGAAACACCUCAACUGCUUAAUGAAAAAACAAAAUGUGGUAAAUCCGUAAAAUAAAAUAUUAGUUAGCAAUUAAAAGUAACAAACUAUUGACAUGUGACAAUUUGGAUAAGCCACAGGGGCAUUAUGCUAAGUGGGAGUAGAGGGGAAGCCAGACUCAAAGGAAUUCUUACUAUGUAGCUUUACUUACAUGACAUUCCAGGAGAGAUAAAUUAUACUGCUGCAUGAUAUGAGACUGGUUUUUCUCCCUUCACCUGUUGUGACAGAUGCUAAAAUAGUACUGCUGUUCUCACUGUCUGGUUGGUCAGGAGAAGACAGAUGACCACCCGAUGACCACAGUGGGAAGAAGAUGGACAGAUGGUGCUCUAGGGAAAGCAUAUUGAGACCACCUGCCUCAGAAGAGAGGAACCAGGGCAAGUUGUAGCUUUACCUAUUAAGAGAUGCAGUGUUUAACCAUGAUGAAAAUGCAAGACUGCUCAUAUGACAAGUGAGAGCUGAGAACAGCAUGUGAAAUCUGGAAGUGAGGCAGAAGAUGUGGGUCUGGGGAAUGCACUGCACCAGAGAAUUUUCAAUUACUAUUGAACUUUCACAUUCCUCUUAGGUGGCAACCAAACCAUGUGCAGGAAUCUCUCUGGCACAACGAGUAAGGGAGAGAACAAAAACCACCCAGGUUUUGCCUAGACAUUUGUGUAUGUGUCUGUAAAGUUAGGGCAUGGAGAGUAUGGCAGACAGACUGGCUCUAUGACCCCUGCCUCUUGGUAUUCAUAGCCUUGUACUAUUUCCUCUCUUUGAGUAUGGAAAAGAUCUGUGACCAAUAAAAUAUGACAGGGGUAAUAGGAUGUCACUCCUGUGAUUAUGUUAUAUAAGAAUCCAUCUUGCUAGCCAGCUUUCUCUAGGGUUUUGCUUUCCUCACUGGCUUUGAAGAAGCAAGCUGCUGUAAGUCUUAUAGCCACAAGAAAGUGAAUUAUUCCAACAACCUGAGUUUGAAGUGGCAGAGCCUCCAGAACCCCAGUUAAGCCUCCAGAUGAGAAUGCAGCCUUGAUGUACACCUUGAUAGAAGCCUUGCAGAGGACCUAAUUUUUUGGACUCCUGACCCAGAAAAGCUGUGAGAUAAUAAAUAUGUGCUUUUUUACGCUGUUGAAUAUAUGGUAAUUUGCUACACAGCAUAGAAAAUUAAUGCAGGUGGGUACACUUCAUUUGUGGUUUCUUA
rnacentral:lncRNA from 1 species